ensembl:snoRNA
AUCCUCUACUUCCCUUUCCCAUUGGAUCCCAGGACUGGUUUGGGUGGUCCUAAAGAAGAAAAGGCAUAGUGGAGGAAGCUGGCCUCCCAACGUUGUAGUCUGCUGCAGGGCGUGCAGGCCAUAUUGAAACAGGC